rnacentral:lncRNA from 1 species
CUAUCUGUAAUAAUUGUCCAGUUCUAGUGUAAGAGUUAAAAUUUAGGUUUUAUGCUAAAUAUGAUAGUUAUAAAGUAAUAGUGUGGUUGCCGAAUUUAAAAUAUUAUAACUUAAGUCAAAAUGAAUUUUUGCAGCUUUAUUUACAAAGAGGUGGAAAGAAUGAAAAUGGAAAAAUGUAUCUAAAGAGACAGAUUUUAACAAGCCUACCAGCCCUUCUCCAGUGAAGUGAGACUCAGUCCUGCCCACAUCCCUUGUCCCCACGUGGAUUUCCUGGUAAUUCUCAGCCAGAAGUCUCGGUGGUGUCUUCAGCCAGAGUUCCACUCACCCAGCAAGCUGAUGCAGAUCCACGGAAAAGGUCUCCUCCAAGCCAAGGCUUUCUGGGGCAUCAUGAUUUAAGGAAGACUUCAAGUAAAAGAAGGAAUUUUAAUUGGAACUUAAAGGAAGCCACGGAGGUCAAUAGCUGGAGUAUGAGAAGACCAUUUCAGUCAUGGGUCAGGCAGAGAAAAUGCCCAGAGAGAUGCAGUGUCUUGUCUGUGGAACAGCCAGGUAGCCAGUGCCAUUGGAUCAAAGAGUAUAUCAGGAGGGCAAAGUAUAAGAAGACUGGAGAGUGUAUCAGAAACGAAUGAACAAAGGAUCUGGUGAACUUUGGAAGGCUGGAAGAGCCAAGUGAAGCCCAACAACAGAAGUCCAUAACAGAGUAUGCCAUAAGUACAGCAACCGAGCCAGGUGAGGAGGCAGCCUCAGGGAAAGACUUACAAGAUCUACCCCAGAAGUGGAUCAUCCUGGCAGCUGAGACAUUGUUCUUCUGCAAGCAAUGGAGCAAUCCAAUUGGCUAUGUCAAAAGAAAUGAACUUGUAUGGGGAAAAUGUUGGUAGUUGCCAAUUUAAGUGUGAAUUCCACUCCUUAGCAACUAAGAGGGUAUGUUUUUGAUUUCAUAGUUUUUUGUACUUUGGUUCUUACUCUCUCUUCUCAAUAAAUGCCACUCAGUAAAAGCUAAUUGAGGGAGC